AAGAUUUUAAGUUAAUAAAACUUUUAAUUUUCAAAAUUAAUUAUAUAAAUAAUAAAUUUAUAAGUCUUA
rnacentral:tRNA from 1 species